UCGUUUUGUCUCUUUUUUACUAGUACAAAAUUUCAUUUGGUAAAAGAGAUAAAUAUAUAUUUGUUAUUUCUAGUUAUGGCAACAUUUUGUGAUGACGUCACAACAGCUGUAGGUACGUGCCAUUUUUCGCCAUUUUAUGCGCUGUGUUUUGUGGUACUUCUGCUGUCAAGUAGCUGUUUAUGAGAUCGUAUUUUGUGUUUUGCGGAUAAAUUACGAGGAUUUGAUUUGCUAAAUCGAAGUUGAAGUUGAAAAAAGUGUUAUUCAACAUGUCCGUGUAUUGUAUUGUACAGUGUGGUGCCAGAAAGGACAGAAAUCAACCGUAUUUGUCACUUCAUAGGCCAUCUUUCAAUCCAAAAUUGUCGACUGGAUUUACUGAAACAGGUGAUAUUGGAAAACUAAUCCACAGCUGCAACGUCGUCUGUGCUGCCAUUGCCCGUACGUCUGUCUCAUAAGUCAGUACAUGAAAAGUCUGUUCAAGAAGACGCGAUGAAAAAAUUAAAAGAUAGCCAAUUUGAAGAAUAUUAUGGAAGAUCUGCAGAAUAAAAAUCAAAUAAUAAAGGGCAAAGUGUAUUGAUGGAAGAAUUGGCAGGACCGCAAGACUUUUUGAAAAGGCAGGUAAACAAAUUUCAAGGUUUACCUUUGCCAUAGAAGUAUUCCCAAGAAAUAAGAAAGUUUGCUUUAACUUUACAUUUUCUUUCU
rnacentral:lncRNA from 1 species